rnacentral:rRNA from 1 species
CAAUAUAAGUGAUGGCGACCGGCGCACGGGUGAGUAACACGUAUCCAACCUGCCGAUAACUCGGGGAUAGCCCUUCGAAAGAAAGAUUAAUACCCGAUGGUAUAAUAAAACCGCAUGGUUUAAUUAUUAAAGAAUUUCGGUUAUCGAUGGGGAUGCGUUCCAUUAGGCAGUUGGUGAGGUAACGGCUCACCAAACCUUCGAUGGAUAGGGGUUCUGAGAGGAAGGUCCCCCACAUUGGAACUGAGACACGGUCCAA